rnacentral:rRNA from 1 species
GACGAACGCUGGCGGCGUGCUUAACACAUGCCAGUCGAACGGAAAGGCCCUGCUUUUGUGGGGUGCUCGAGUGGCGAACGGGUGUGUAACACGUGAGUAACCUGCCCUUGACUUUGGGAUAACUUCAGGAAACUGGGGCUAUUACCCGAUAUAAUCUCCUGCUGCAUGUUGGUGGUUGGAAAGUUUCGGCGGUUGGGGAUGGACUCGCGGCUUAUCCGCUUGUUGGUGGGGUAGUGGCUUACCAAGGCUUUGACGGGUAGCCGGCAUGAGAGGGUGACCGGCGACAUUGGGACUGAGAUACGGCCCAGAAUCCAACGGGAGGCAGCAGGGGGGAAUAUUGCAGAAUGGGCGGAAGCCUGAGGCAGAAACGCCGCGUGCGGGAUGACGGCCUUCGGGGUGUAAACAGCUUUCGACGGUGACGAAGCGUGAGUGACGGUAAUGGGUAAAGAAGCACCGGCUAACUACGUG